CCUACGGGAGGCAGCAGUGAGGAAUAUUGGUCAAUGGACGAGAGUCUGAACCAGCCAAGUAGCGUGAAGGAUGACUGCCCUAUGGGUUGUAAACUUCUUUUAUAUGGGAAUAAAACGUUCCACGUGUGGGAUUUUGUAUGUACCAUAUGAAUAAGGAUCGGCUAACUCCGUGCCAGCAGCCGCGGUAAUACGGAGGAUCCGAGCGUUAUCCGGAUUUAUUGGGGUUAAAGGGAGCGUAGGUGGAUUGUUAAGUCAGUUGUGAAAGUUUGCGGCUCAACCGUAAAAUUGCAGUUGAAACUGGCAGUCUUGAGUACAGUAGAGGUGGGCGGAAUUCGUGGUGUAGCGGUGAAAUGCUUAGAUAUCACGAAGAACUCCGAUUGCGAAGGCAGUUCACUGGACUGCAACUGACACUGAGGCUCGAAAGUGUGGGUAUCAAACAGGAUUAGAUCCCUAGUAGUC
rnacentral:rRNA from 1 species